GACGAACGCUGGCGGCGUGCUUAACACAUGCAAGUCGAACGGAAAGGCCCUGCUUUUGUGGGGUGCUCGAGUGGCGAACGGGUGAGUAACGCGUGAGUAACCUGCCCUUGACUUUGGGAUAACUUCAGGAAACUGGGGCUAAUACCGCAUAGGAGCUCCUGCUGCAUGGUGGGGGUUGGAAAGUUUCGGCGGUUGGGGAUGGACUCGCGGCUUCUCAGCUUGUUGGUGGGGUAGUGGCAUACCAUGGCUUUGACGGGUAGCCGGCCUGAGAGUGUGACCGGCCACAUUGGGACUGAGAUACCGCCCAGACUCCUACUGGAGGCAUCAGUGGGGAAUAUUGCGCAAUGGGCGGAAGCCGUAUGCAGCAACGCCGCGUGCGGGAUGACGGCCUUCGGGUUGUAACCCGCGUUCGCCUGUGACGAAGCGUGAGUGACGGUAAUGGGUAAAGAAGCACCGGCUAACUACGUG
rnacentral:rRNA from 1 species